rnacentral:rRNA from 1 species
GAUGAACGCUAGCGGCAGGCCUAACACAUGCAAGUCGAGGGGUAGAGUUAGCUUGCUAACUUGAGACCGGCGCACGGGUGCGUAACGCGUAUGCAAUCUACCUUAUACAGAGGGAUAGCCCAGAGAAAUUUGGAUUAAUACCUCAUAGUAUUAUCGAGUGGCAUCAUUUGAUAAUUAAAGUUCCAACGGUAUAAGAUGAGCAUGCGUCCCAUUAGUUAGUUGGUAAGGUAACGGCUUACCAAGACUAUGAUGGGUAGGGGUCCUGAGAGGGAGAUCCCCCACACUGGUACUGAGACACGGACCAGACUCCUACGGGAGGCAGCAGUGAGGAAUAUUGGACAAUGGGCGCAAGCCUGAUCCAGCCAUGCCGCGUGCAGGAAGACGGUCCUAUGGAUUGUAAACUGCUUUUAUACAGGAAGAAACAUCUCUACGUGUAGAGGCUUGACGGUACUGUAAGAAUAAGGAUCGGCUAACUCCGUGCCAG